GAUUUUCUCGGACUGCGUAGAUGUGUGUCAUUUAUCAUGUUGUUCCAGCCUUGUUCACAAAAGCAUCUGAAAAUGGACACCCAUGCUCAUUUGCUCAUUUGACGGCACCCUUAACAUUUUACGAGACCAGAAAAGCGAACAAAUGACCGAAAAUGGUUCCGGAAGAGAAUGACGAGAAAGGAAGACCUUCAAACCAAGGAGAAUGACCUUGCGUCGCGUUUUAUUGAUCGAUUGGCCUUGGGCUAGGCCAUCAAUCACGGGCUAAUAAGAUAUUUAAGAUUCUGAAAUAAUGAUAAUAUCUUUUAUUACAACCCUCAAAAAAACGAUCACGGAGGAUUGUCCUGACGAACGUAGAGAGGGUGUGGGGAAAGUCAUCCGUAAACUUAAUGUUUCAAUCUGAAUAAUUCAUAUUCAGCAAGGGAAUAGUUCCCCCCUACCUUGAAUAGAAGACUAAAUUAAAAGCGAGUAUUGCCUUCACAUCUCAAAGUUCUCAAUUUACCCACGUGCCGCCUUCUUUCCGCUCGCUUCGUCGUGGUCGUACCACGUUCAAGAAAUCCCGGUGGGAGAUCAUCUGUCGGGCAAAGGUUGCAGUCAAGUAGUAACACUAGCUCAGUAGUGUUCUCUGCGUUAGCGGAAGGAACAAACCCAAGUAUUGGAAGAAAUCGAGUUCAAGAGAGACGCAUUUCCCAAAAGCAACCAAAGACACACCAUGAGGUGCCUUUUGAAACGAGGCUAUCUGCAUCCAUUUUAUUUGACAUCUCUUUCAACCGGAUUGAUUGGCUUCUUCAUCUCCAAGUCCUUAUCAUUAUACGUUCUGUUGAAGCUCCACCAAUCAAAAGUGCAAAUCUCCUCGCAGAAACUUUGGCAAACGAUGGCUAACGAAGUUUGGCCUUUGGGGAACUCUUCGUCAGAGGGCAAGGCUGAUCAAGUUUCUCAUUGCCUUGUUGUCCUUCUGGUUCUCUUCUCAAUCGAGUCUGUGGCUAAUCUGACUCUAAUGAUCGCAUCGAGGCGGAAAAGUCUCAUUCUUUUGGGUAUCUUUGUUGGCUAUCGAGUUUUUUGUUUACUUGGAGUAUCAAUUGCUAUACUCGCUCAAUCUUUGGAAACCUCGCCGACAAAUCUGGACAUCCUUCUCAUCCUAAUCCUUGCUUUUGGCAUAUUCAUGGCCAGUGCUCAAAGAGGUAAGAGAUCCACAGAGUUACGAGUACAUUACAACGAGGAUUGGAUAGAAGUGGGAGAUAAAUUUCAAAGCCAAACUGCUAUUCUGAAGUUCACAAUGGUUGCCUAGCCAACGGACUCAUAGCGAGGGAAUCUAGGUCUUGAGGAAAGGCCAUUCUCGCUAAUACAAUAAUACCUCCUUGCAUUAGCCUCGUGUCAUAUUUGCGAAAGAGGAUCCACGUCAAACAGAACGAAUGAGCUAUUCUGACCAAAAGAAACCCAAAACAAGACAUAUUUGUAACAGGCAGAGGGUCUGUCCAUUGUAUAGGAAGCGAUUGAGAGAAUAAGGUUAUGGACGACAUGGCCAUUGUUCCAAGCGAUGAGCCUCACGACCAGGCAGCACGUUAUGGGAACACCAGCGAGAGCAUUUCUGGUUGCCGAGGCAAUGACCGCUUGAGGCGAGAGCGCAUCGAAAUUGACUUCUCUCCCAACUUCCAAAGCUUCCAGAGCGAUCCCGAUGCGCUCACGAUUGACACCAAUGUCGUAGAUGUAGAAGAGUCGGAAAUUGGGAGCAACUCUUUGGCCUUGGCAAGUUUGGUUCUCGAUGGCGUGGACCUGGAUUCUCCCGCUCGUGAUGGCGACCUUAAGUGCACAUCAUUUCAUAGAAUUUAAACACAUUAGACCCACGCUUUGAGGUUAGGGUUUUUAUUGGAUUUGCUCGCUGGAAGGGCCAUGUUUUCGGUCGAACUCGAAACUCGAAACUGAAAAAGACCAGAGUGCAUUCUCAGACUAAAUACGAGGUUCGAAAAACAAGGCUUUCAAAUCCAAGCGAGGUUACUGAAGACUUGAAAGCUUUUGAUGUUUGGAAAGGAUUUAUUCAAGUGUAUAGGAUCUCUAAGCCAAAUAAAACCUAUUCUCUGUCCCGGAUAACUCACCCCGAAAAAUAGUUUCAGUUGCGCAUUUGAAGGUAUCUGAUCUGUAUUUGACAUUAUAAUCUUGAAAGUCCAAACACGAAAAGGAGACUGGAAAGUCAGGCAUAGU